rnacentral:rRNA from 1 species
UAAGUAUAAGCAACUUGUACUGUGAAACUGCGAAUGGCUCAUUAAAUCAGUUAUCGUUUAUUUGAUAGUACCUUACUACAUGGAUACCUGUGGUAAUUCUAGAGCUAAUACAUGCUAAAAACCCCGACUUCAGGAAGGGGUGUAUUUAUUAGAUAAAAAACCAACGCCCUUCGGGGCUCCUUGGUGAAUCAUAAUAACUUAACGAAUCGCAUGGCCUUGCGCCGGCGAUGGUUCAUUCAAAUUUCUGCCCUAUCAACUUUCGAUGGUAGGAUAGUGGCCUACCAUGGUGGCAACGGGUAACGGGGAAUUAGGGUUCGAUUCCGGAGAGGGAGCCUGAGAAACGGCUACCACAUCCA